UGGGGAAUUUUGGACAAUGGGCGAAAGCCUGAUCCAGCAAUGCCGCGUGUGUGAAGAAGGCCUUCGGGUUGUAAAGCACUUUUGUCCGGAAAGAAAUCCUUGGCUCUAAUACAGUCGGGGGAUGACGGUACCGGAAGAAUAAGCACCGGCUAACUACGUGCCAGCAGCCGCGGUAAUACGUAGGGUGCAAGCGUUAAUCGGAAUUACUGGGCGUAAAGCGUGCGCAGGCGGUUUGCUAAGACCGAUGUGAAAUCCCCGGGCUCAACCUGGGAACUGCAUUGGUGACUGGCAGGCUAGAGUAUGGCAGAGGGGGGUAGAAUUCCACGUGUAGCAGUGAAAUGCGUAGAGAUGUGGAGGAAUACCGAUGGCGAAGGCAGCCCCCUGGGCCAAUACUGACGCUCAUGCACGAAAGCGUGGGGAGCAAAACAGGAUUAGAUACCCUGGUAGUCCACGCCCUAAACGAUGUCAACUAGUUGUUGGGGAUUCAUUUCCUUAGUAACGUAGCUAACGCGUGAAGUUGACCGCCUGGGGAGUACGUCGCAAGAUUAAAACUCAAAUGAAUUG
rnacentral:rRNA from 1 species